GCCGUCCUGAUCUGCGCGGCGGCGGUGGAGUCGAUGGCUUGUCGAUCUCCGCGGAGGAAUCCGGCGAGGUCUACGGGCGAAGGGGUGGCAAGCUUCCGGCUGAGGGAGAGGUUGAAGAAGGCGUCUAGAUUGAAAUCGUGAUUUACGAUUUGGAAGAAAUCGUGGCUCGAGCAGGCCGUUGGCCGUCCUGAUCUGCGCGGCGGUCGGUGGAGUCGAUGGCUUGUCGAUCUCCGCGGAGGAAUCCGGCGAGGUCUACCGGCGAAGGGGUGUGUGUGUGUGUGUGUGUGUGUGUGUGUGUGUGUGUGAGAGAGAGAGAGAGAGAGAGAGAGAGAGAGCCUGCAAAGUCAGAGAGAAGAAAGAGGGAUGGAAAUUUGAUGUGAUGAAUUUUUUUUUUGAAAAUAUAUAUUGUGUUUAUGAGGAUUGUGAAUUUGUGAUUAUUUGUGAUUUUUAUUGGAUAGAUUUGAUAUAUUAGAGGAUAUACGUAUGAAUUCACAAUUUAAUGUUCUUGAAUUCACGACCACAUUUAUGAAUUCACAACUAGAUUUAAGAAUACAUUUAUGAAUUCACAAC
rnacentral:lncRNA from 1 species